AGAUGCGGGGUCCUUCGGGGGCGGUCACAGGUGGUGCAUGGCUGUCGUCAGCUCGUGUCGUGAGAUGUUGGGUUAAGUCCCGCAACGAGCGCAACCCUCGUUCGAUGUUGCCAGCGGGUUAUGCCGGGGACUCAUCGAAGACUGCCGGGGUCAACUCGGAGGAAGGUGGGGAUGAGGUCAAGUCAUCAUGCCCCUUAUGUCCAGGGCUUCACGCAUGCUACAAUGGCCGGUACAAAGGGCUGCGAUGCCGUAAGGUGGAGCGAAUCCCAAAAAGCCGGUCUCAGUUCGGAUCGGGGUCUGCAACUCGACCCCGUGAAGUUGGAGUCGCUAGUAAUCGCAGAUCAGCAACGCUGCGGUGAAUACGUUCCCGGGCCUUGUACACACCGCCCGUCGCGUCACGAAAGUCGGCAACACCCGAAGCCCAUGGCCUAACCAGCUUGCUGGAGGGAGUGGUCGAAGGUGGGGCUGGCGAUUGGGACGAAGUCGUAACAAGGUAACCGUAA
rnacentral:rRNA from 1 species